AGAGUUUGAUCCUGGCUCAGGACGAACGCUGGCGGCGUGCCUAACACAUGCAAGUCGAACGGAGUUGAAAGGAGCUUGCUUUUUUCAACUCAGUGGCGGACGGGUGAGUAACGCGUGAGUAACCUGCCUUUCAGAGGGGGAUAACGUUCUGAAAAGAACGCUAAUACCGCAUAAGAUUGUAGCUUCGCAUGGAGCAGCAAUCAAAGGAGCAAUCCGCUGAAAGAUGGACUCGCGUCCGAUUAGAUAGUUGGCGGGGUAACGGCCCACCAAGUCGACGAUCGGUAGCCGGACUGAGAGGUUGAUCGGCCACAUUGGGACUGAGACACGGCCCAGACUCCUACGGGAGGCAGCAGUGAGGGAUAUUGGGCAAUGGGGGAAACCCUGACCCAGCAACGCCGCGUGAGGGAUGACGGUUUUCGGAUUGUAAACCUCUGUCCUCUGUGAAGAUAGUGACGGUAGCAGAGGAGGAAGCUCCGGCUAACUACGUGCCAGCAGCCGCGGUAAUACGUAGGGAGCAAGCGUUGUCCGGAUUUACUGGGUGUAAAGGGUGCGUAGGCGGAUUGGCAAGUCAGAAGUGAAAUCCAUGGGCUUAACCCAUGAACUGCUUUUGAAACUGUUAGUCUUGAGUGAAGUAGAGGUAGGCGGAAUUCCCGGUGUAGCGGUGAAAUGCGUAGAGAUCGGGAGGAACACCAGUGGCGAAGGCGGCCUACUGGGCUUUAACUGACGCUGAGGCACGAAAGUGUGGGUAGCAAACAGGAUUAGAUACCCUGGUAGUCCACACUGUAAACGAUGAUUACUAGGUGUGGGGGGUCUAACCCCCUCCGUGCCGGAGUUAACACAAUAAGUAAUCCACCUGGGGAGUACGACCGCAAGGUUGAAACUCAAAGGAAUUGACGGGGGCCCGCACAAGCAGUGGAGUAUGUGGUUUA
rnacentral:rRNA from 1 species